UUAUUCAUCUUUGUAAAUAACAGGCGCUGAAAUAUUAAUGGUCAACCACAAUCAUGGUGCAAAGAGGCUUAUGUUUAAUAAUGCAGAAGCAAAAAACCUUCCACUUUUAGACAAAAACACUAACUGAAAACUGCUUCAGCUCUGAAAAUAAAACCCCAUUUCUCAAUGGUAGUUUUGGCUUUUUUAAAGCUUGGCAAUCACCCCCCUCCCAGCCCCUACCAGAUUACCUCAAACAAAAAACUGCAGGGCCUUUUGGAGUGUACAGCUAUACACUAAGGAACUUCUCCCCCCCCCCCCCCCCAGAAAUAGGCUAAAAUUCAACACUAGUAAACACAAUUGUGGUCAUCCACUUCAUUUUUCUUUUAUUAGCCUUCAGGUGAUACGCCAUUAGUGACAAAAUUCACUAACAUAACUUGUGCAUGGAAAUUUAUUUAGAGAGUAAAGGGGAGACGGAGAAUCUUAAGUAGGCUCCACACUAGAUAUAGGAUUUAUUCUCACAACCCUGAGAUCACUACCUGAGCCAAAUUCAAGUCAGAUAUGCUUAACCAACUGAGCCACUCUAGGUGCCCCAUAAUUUAUGCUACUAGCCUAAUGCUUGUUUAGCUAGAUAAUUUAACCACACAAAGGGACUAGUCCUUUCUUUCUCGCUUGCUUGUUCAGGUCCUCCUUACUAUCAUAUAUUCCUUGUAUAACUUUUUCCAUUCCCCUUCUUGCCAGUACAAUGCUAGAAUGAAGCCUAUAGACUGAAUUGAGGUGAGAAGGGCCCCCUCUUUCCUACAACCCUUGAACUGCUUCACAAAAUAACAUUAUCCUAGUUUGGAAAGAAAUGAACGUAUUUCUCAGACAUUGGUCACCUCCCCUGUGUAGCAAUUAAAAGUUUUCACUUAAAGUUCCAUUUACUAUCUUAUUACAACAUCCCGGAGCAAACAGGAGAGAUUUCAAAUCUCAUCACUUUUUCUAUUAAAUUAAAAAGCACUGCUUCCAUGAAAUCAAAUACCAGCUUCACAACAUUUUACUAUUAGACAAUUAUUCCUACAAAUAUUCCAAAAAGAGCAUCAAGUUGUGUUCUCCCCCCCCCCCCCAUUUCUGAUCAGCCGUCUAUUGUCAGUUUUAACUGGAGCUGAAAAACAGAAGGCUUUAAACUGAAAAGGAUCCCAUCACUGGGUUUUUAAAUAGAGCAUUUAAAUAAUUCUUCUUGAAGGUAUUUUAUCAGCCACUUAUUUCUACCCUGAAAAAAGCUUAAAAUACAAUUAGUAUUUAAAGCACUAUACAAAAUAAAAACAAACCAGACAAAAGAGUAAGGUACAUUUCAAUUUAAUCAUUGUGCACACAAAUUUGUAAAAAUGCUAGACACACAUACAUUAAGUCGCAAAGGAAAUUUGAGAAUUCUUGUUCAUGUCUAAGCAUUAUUUUAAACUAUGGAAAUUUGGCUACAUACUCUCACCACUAUUACAUGCAUUUAGAGUUACAUACUUACCACAUUUUCAAUGUCUGCUUAUCCUUGCUAGGAAAGGACAGACUUCCUUAGAAAUUUACUUCACUUUAAAUCUUAAAGACAUAAAUUGAGGGUCCACACUUUGUUUAGUGUUUAUCUAAAAGAAUACAUCACCAUUAUCACAUACUCAAAAUAUCAAUUUUCAGAAGACUAUCAUUUUCCAUACUAAAAAGCAUUAAGAGUUUACUAUUCAUUGUUGGUUUAUGAACAUCACAGCAAGAAAUACAAUUUGAAAACCUUAGAGGAUGCCUGGGUGGCUCAGUGGUUGAAAACAUCCUUAGCUUAUAUUGACACCAGCUAGAAUAUGGCUAAAGACUGGAGACAAAAAAUAAUAAUAAUAAUAAUAAUAAUAAUAAAAUAAAAUAAAAUAAAUAAAAUCCAUGUAUCACUCUGAAGGAAAGUACUAAACAGGGCGUAAAUUUAAAAUAUACACAGAGGCUAAUUCCCACUGGUAUACACGGUCCCAGAAACCAGUAUUUCUAACCCAUGUUUUUCAUGCAAGGUUAGAAAGAUUUAAAGAUUCACUUGAAAUUUUCAAGCCUCAUUCAGAGAUAAUUCUGUAGGCAUUAGUCUGCAGGAGCAUUUCAGGCAAGUCCUCCUUCAAGCCUACCCUCAGCUUUAAUCGCUCAUGAAUCACUGCAACAACAGCUUCACAAAGAGACAAAUUCUGAUAUUUAAAUUUUACACCUGUACAUCUUUUGAGAACCAAAAGCAUUGAGACCAAACUUUCGGUUGUCAGCUAAAAAGAAAAUCAAGCUUAAAAACAUUUUUAAAAACCACUGGUUUUGAGUGAAAACAUUUUUUCCAUCCCACCGAAAGAAAAAAAAAGUAUGUUAAAAGGUUUUGCAGUUACAGACUAAGUGGAAGUCAGAAAAGUGAUCGUGGAUUAUUAGGAAAACGUCAGGAGGCGAAAUAAUCAACUUCUAAAAUAAAUGCCAAUUCGGAUAUUAUUUAGAGUGUAAAAACUCAGAUUGCCCACUUCUUUGAUCAGUAGCCCAUUUCAGUUAAAACUUAAAAGGAAAAAUUGUGACAUAUAAGGAUAAAAUAAUACUUACCAGAAAGGCAGCUUUAUAGAGAUGGUUUUAAGGAAAACCAUUUCCACUGUAUAUACGCCAUUUCUUAUAC
rnacentral:lncRNA from 1 species